UCGUACGAUCGAGGUGCGAGGGCUGUCGCUGACCCUUCAAAGGUCGUGCACGCCCGAGCGCUCUCACACAUCCAUCUCACCCAUUUGUGCAUCACCGCGUGGGCCUCCCCCCUCGUGGGGGAGUGCCUGCGUUUUCACCAUAAAACUUGAUACGGUGUAGAAUGUUUUCAUUUGCGGUCACACGCAAUCAAUA
rnacentral:misc_RNA from 1 species